AACGCAAAUUGCACUCUCUGGUAUUCCAGAGAGUAUGCCUGUUUGAGGGUCAGUGUAAUAAAAACAUCGUAGUUGUUACCACCUUUCGUGGUGACGCUUCGGAAUUGAGUCGUCUUUACCCUUUCGGGUUAAGUGACUUUAAAUUUUUCGUACGAAUUCGAAACGUAUUUAAUGUAUUUUUAUGUACGUUUAACGAAGUCGGUUAUUAGGUGCGGUCAUUUCUAUGAUAAUUCGCAUCUAUAAAUUUUUCUUUUUUUUUUGACCUCAAAUCAGGUAAGAGUACCCGCUGAACUUAA
rnacentral:misc_RNA from 1 species